rnacentral:rRNA from 1 species
GAUGAACGCUGGCGGCGUGCCUAAUACAUGCGAGUCGAACGAAACUUCUUUAUCACCGAGUGCUUGCACUCACCGAUAAAGAGUUGAGUGGCGAACGGGUGGGUAACACGUGGGCAACCUGCCCAAAAGAGGGGGAUAACACUUGGAAACAGGUGCUAAUACCGCAUAACCAUAGUUACCGCAUGGUAACUAUGUAAAAGGUGGCUAUACUACCGCUUUUGGAUGGGCCCGCGGCGCAUUAGCUAGUUGGUAGGGUAAAGGCUUACCAAGGCAAUGAUGCGUAGCCGAAUUGAGAGGUUGAUCGGCCACAUUGGGACUGAGACACGGCCCAAACUCCUACGGGAGGCAGCAGUAGGGAAUCUUCCACAAUGGGCGAAAGCCUGAUGGAGCAACGCCGCGUGGGUGAAGAAGGUCUUCGGAUCGUAAAACCCUGUUGUUAGAGAAGAAAGUGCGUGAGAGUAACUGUUCACGUUUCGACGGUAUCUAACCAGAAAGCCACGGCUAACUACGUG